rfam:Schistosoma rodhaini strain Burundi genome assembly, scaffold: SROB_scaffold0012292
AUCCAGCUGACAAAUCACAAAUAGGAUGAAACGCGCAUCCUGGAU